GAAAUGCGAUAAGUAGUGUGAAUUGCAGAAUUCAGUGAAUCAUCAAAUCUUUGAACGCACAUUGCGCUUCCUGGUAUUCCGGGGAGCAUGCCCGUUUCAGCAUCAUUAAAAACAUCAUAAAACGUGCAAUUGGUUUGCUUGCAAACGAGCUGUGCGCUUUGUGCUGAUGGAUCUUGGGGGAUUUGUAUGUCCCCGAGUUCUGAAUGUGAUGAUGUGGGUGCCGCAGCCGUCGCAGGCUUCAGCUGGCUCCAAAGUGCAGCAGAAUUCAUUCUACCUCGCUUUGGGACCGCUUCUAAUGAAGUCUUGGGUUGCAUUGGCGCACUCCUCCACCUUAACACGUUGAGAAAGUUGCUUGCGGCUAUACGUCGUACUCAACUUUCUUUUCUGACUUGGUCUGAAA
rnacentral:misc_RNA from 1 species